GCACUGGACGGGAUGAGCCCUGGGUGAUAUGCUCUAUGCUGGCAAAUUGAGCUCCGAUAAAAAAAAUACAAAAAAAAUAUGACGAAAUGGAAAAGAAAAGGUAACUGCCUAUGGUAGAACCUGCAUUUGAACCCAGGCCUGAGUCAAAGUCUCAGUUGUCCGCACACGGUAGCCUAUUGAACCCGGCUGUGGUUCCAGGCGGCAGUCUUCCCAUCCGACCUCUAACCCAUCAACGCUGACGGCUGGGCCCCACGGCCAGAAUUACCUUCACUGAAAUCUCUCCUAAAAAUGCUCCCCUGUGCCCAACUGAAGAAAGCUCCAGAGGAAUCCUCUGAUGCCUCUAUCAGACCUUAAGUCUGUUUUUUACUUACUAUUGACAGAUCUCGAGCAAGGUUCCUAAAUAGUCACCUUGGUUAUUUUCCUGAUAUUUUGUUACGUGAACAUGGGGACGUUUUCCUUCCAGUUUUCCUGAUGGAGAAGAAAACAAGAGCCACAGCAGCUCACUGCCUUACCUCCGUAACCAUAAAAGUCGUAGUGGAGAUUCUAGUAGAAUUUGUUUCUUUCAAGCGGUUGCCUUUGUGGCUCUCUUAGCAAUUCUUUUGUCUUUUCCAAAGCUUCUUUUCAUAGAAUUUUAACAAGUUUCUCUUUCAUGGACAUUCCACAUUCAGGGCUUAUUUCCUUCCAAAGACUUUCACUCCGUCUCUUCCCAGCUGCUUCACAGCCUAGAGUUGAGGAGAACAAUACUCUGCUUAAACCAAGUGUUUUCGUACAACCAAUGCAUGUGUGACCGAUUUUUAAAGAGUUCUGAUACUAGAAUAAACAAUUCACUCAUGUUACAACUCAGAUUUUCAGGGAAAAGGCCUUCUUUAUUUCCGAAGACCUAUCCUGCUUACUCUCCAUCCCACUAGGUGACAGGGGGACCAAAGAGUUUCGGGAGGUAAACACGUGUGCUCCGUUAGGCAUCUUGACCCAGAGAUAUCCUCUGGAUUUUUAUUAUUAUUAUUAUUUAUUUAUUCAUGAGAGACACAGAGAGAGAGGCAGAGACCCAGGCAGAGGGAGAAGCAGGCUCCAUGCAGGGAGCCUGAUGCAGGACUCGAUCCCAGGACUCCGGGGUCACACCCUGGGCUGGAGGCGGUGCCAAACUGCUGGGCCCCCCGGGCCACCCUAUCCUCUGGAUUUAAAUCCUAUGUCUUCUGCACUGGAAGGGAGCAUCCUGGGCAGCAGGGAGUUUGAGGAAACUUGGUUAAUAAGGCCAUCAAUUAUGGACCCGGUUUUUUCUUUUUGACGGCUCAGUGAAAAAAAAAAGACCUGUUUGUCCAAGAGUAAAUCCAGACCCAUUCCUAUUACACUGUGUCGGCAAAUAAUUUUCUCACGUAACGAGGACACCUGCACUGUGCCGUGCUGCUUCUGCAUCGUCCAGAUUUAGACGUGAUGGGAUUGUAGGCCUCGGAAGCCCAGAUGUGGUGUUUCGAAAAAAUAAACCCUGCAGGACGUUAGGUGGACCGUCCACUGGAUUGCUGGGUGUGCCGCGGGGAGAGCGCCAGAAAUGCCUCCUACGGACUGUGCGGGCCACGUUUUGGGUUCGGCCAUAUGGGGCCACCCGUGCGGGGCUGACAAGGCAAUAGAAGGGGUAUGGCCAUUGCUCUGCGUCCAGCCUUCCUUCAAGUACUGUCACUGCUACUGAACUUAGGGGAGGCUUCUUGUCAAGAGCAGCUACAAUUCAGAUCCUCCUGCACAGCUGGCACCGCUGCUGGGCGCCUCGGGGAGGGUCGCUGCCGCCCCCCCCCCUCCCGGGGCCUCAGGCGACAAUGGGGAGGCGGGACAUGUGGCCUAUUUCGGAGUUACCCCUGCCUGGAAAAGACCAGCCUGAGAACACGACCCUUAUGAAAACAGAAGAUGGUUUAGGGGCUCAGAAAACCACGGAGGACAGAUCAGAUGGUUUCCCCUCUCACUUGCCGUCACUCUUCGCCAUGCGUGUAUAUUUUGAGGAGGAAAAGGAAGCUUAAUUUAAUUAUGAAUCAAGAGAACUGAAGUAAAGCCCCGGUUGUGUCCCUAAAUAAUGGGGAAGCUUUAAAAGUCUGCAAGUCUCCUAGAAGCUCUCUGCUUCUCUAGAAGUCGAAGCCAACUGCAGUUACGUUUUCGUGUCCUUCACGUGCCACUACUUUAGUAUUUUCUUAGGUUUCACCGGAGACUGUAAGUGAUUGACCGGGAGCGAAAUCAAUUCUCUAACUAUUGGUCCUUUUAGGCUUAAAGCGAGGGGAGGCGCCCGGCUGCUCGGUCCGCAGAGCACGCGCCGAACGGGCCGUGAGUUCCAGCCCUCGGUGGGACGGGAGAGCUGAAGAGAAAGAAGAGAUUAAACGGAAUAAAAAAAUCAGCGUGUCUUCCAAAGAGAAAACUUGUUAACGGUUUUCAUAUAUUUCCUUUCACUCUUUCAUAUAUUUUGCAGUAAAUAUCCAUACACUCGGGAUACAUACAGGGAGCAGCUCGUACUGCCUCGGUUCUAUAGCAGGGCCUGGAUCUCAGGUCACAUUCUAUAGUGUCAACUUUUUCGAUAGUUAUUGACUACGAACUUACAGAAUUUAACCAAAAGCAACCAGGGCUUCUUCCAGAGCCUGUGCCAUCAAGGCAGAUGGGAGAAGCUGGGCGGGCACAGAGCCCGGCGAUAGGGACCGGCGAUAGGUUCCGGCGUCUGCAGGCGGUUCCUGACCGACCCUGUCGUCAACCCACCCGAAGCCUCGGGUGUUCGCAAAGCAGCUGAAUUUAAGAAACAGGAGCUGAACAGGCCCGGCGGCCUGGGAUCGAAACCACUGGGAUCGUGGGCAAAGCAGGCCCACGAGGAGAGCAAGUACCUCCUGCCCGGCCCUGGGAGCUCACGAGUCCGCCUUUAAGGCCGAUCCGGGACCACGUGGCCGCCGCCUCUCAGCCCUGGUCUCCGCCCUAAGCUGAGUUGGACAUUAAAAGAAAGGGUCUAAAAAAUAAAUAAAUAAAUAAAUAAAUAAAUAAAUAAAUAAAUAAAUAAAUAAAUAUAAAAUAAAAUAAUAAAAUAAAAGGUCUAAUAAAGUCUUAUGUGCAGGGAGGCCCGGGUCCGUAGAUGGCUCCAGUCUGGCGCUGCCCAGGCUCUCAGGGCUCCACGACCGAGGCCCGUAGGGCCAAGGCCUGCCGUCCACAGUGGGUUUUUGCACCUGCACCUCGCCCGUCCUCCGGCACCGCCUCCUCCACCCAGAAGGGCCCGGGCCCGGGCCUCAAGGGCCAGCGGGGCCUCGAAGGAGCGGCCCCUCCCGGCCACAUGUGUCGCGACUGCGAGCUCUAGCAGCCCUGCUUCCCGGAUCCGGACCGGCUCGGCCCGACUGUGGCGAGACGGAGACUGCAGACACGGAGUCCAAACGGUUCAGCCCACGACCAAAAGCUUCGCAGUGCUGUCUUGGUGAAUCAAGAAGAUCAACAGCAAGAAGAUAAACCUCUUCAGUGAUAAUACAAGACCAGUGGCUCAUCUCAGGAAUUUCCAAUUUUAUCAACAAUGUUAAAAAUAAUGUGAUUACAGUUUGUGAUAAAACUCGUCUAAAAUAUAUAAAUAAGCAUACAGAAUUAUAAAAACAAAUUCUUACAGUUUCCUGUUAAAUAGGUGAAACAGUUUGAAAAUUGAAACACAGUUUCAAUUUGUGGAAAAAAUAGUACAUCACCAACUUUUUUAUUUAUUUAUUUAUUUAUUUAUUUAUUUAUUUAUUUAUUUAGUUUUUUUAAUAAUAAAUUUAUUUUUUUAUUGGUGUUCAAUUUACGUCACCAAAUUUUUUAAAUGAAACUGCUUGUUUGAAGGUCUGCACACAUUCUAAAAUGUAGAUUAAUCUCUGCUAAAACCCCCUGAUAUUUAGAGUCUUAUGUAUUAAGUCUUGUAUAUUAUUAUCACUAUCCUUCUAAUAGUGUUGACUUUCUAAGUUCCAGAGAUGUGGAGAAAUAAUCUAGAGGUGGGUUUUUAGAUUUCUUAUUAUUCUAGUCCCAUUAAUUAGAUUCCCCCCGCAAUGGAUAUAGCUUUCUCUUCUCUCAAUCAUGCAUACUUAUUUAAAAAAUACAAUUAAAAAAUAAAAAAACCAGGACACCCGGGUGGUUCAGUGGUUGAGCAUCUGCCUUUCCCUU